rnacentral:snRNA from 1 species
UUCGUAGGCUCCAUGCUC